rnacentral:rRNA from 1 species
UGGGGAAUAUUGGACAAUGGGCGAAAGCCUGAUCCAGCCAUGCCGCGUGUGUGAAGAAGGCCUUUUGGUUGUAAAGCACUUUAAGUGGGGAGGAAAAGCUUAUGGUUAAUACCCAUAAGCCCUGACGUUACCCACAGAAUAAGCACCGGCUAACUCUGUGCCAGCAGCCGCGGCAAUACAGAGGGUGCAAGCGUUAAUCGGAAUUACUGGGCGUAAAGCGCGCGUAGGUGGUUAUUUAAGUCAGAUGUGAAAGCCCCGGGCUUAACCUGGGAACUGCAUCUGAUACUGGAUAACUAGAGUAGGUGAGAGGGGAGUAGAAUUCCAGGUGUAGCGGUGAAAUGCGUAGAGAUCUGGAGGAAUACCGAUGGCGAAGGCAGCUCCCUGGCAUCAUACUGACACUGAGGUGCGAAAGCGUGGGUAGCAAACAGGAUUAGAUACCCUGGUAGUCCACGCCGUAAACGAUGUCUACCAGUCGUUGGGUCUUUUAAAGACUUAGUGACGCAGUUAACGCAAUAAGUAGACCGCCUGGGGAGUACGGCCGCAAGGUUA